UUUGUCCCCUCUGACUUAUUCUUAAUUCUGCUCUAAAGAACAAUCUCAUACUUCAACCUGAUUCAACCCUUUUGAUUUGAACCUACAUGAAACUGACCCCAGUUCUGUGAUAUAAACUUCCUCUUUUAAAGCGAUCUAAAUUUUAAUCUUCCAUAAAAAUUCAUGUAAAUUUAUUUCAAGCACCAGCUUAAUAAUUUUUUAAUUUUUAAUUUUGACUCAAGGCCAGUAAUUUUGAGGGGAGGGGGUAACUCAAAUCAUAUUGACGCCAGUAUUUAACUGAUACUUUAUUUUAUCAACCCAGAAAGGAUAACAGAGAAACUCAACCUUAGCAGAUUUGAACUCAGAACUGUAAGAUAAGAAAUAUUGUUAAGCAUUUUGCCUGGUGUGUUUAUAAUUCUGUCAGUUCACACAAGCUUAACAAAUUAUUUCUUCAUUAAUUAUUUAAUUAUUUCUAAAUUAUUUCUUCAUUAUUUUGAAAAUUAUUUGCAAUAAAGACAGUGUAUUUCUACAGAUAUAUCUUUUACUUGUUUUAGUCAUUUGACUGUGA